AGCAGCCGCGGUAAUUCCAGCUCCAAUAGCGUAUAUUAAAGUUGUUGCAGUUAAAAAGCUCGUAGUUGAAUUUCGGGAUCAAUACGUCGGUCGUGCCUCGGUACGUACUGGCGUCAUUGAUUUCUCCCUUCUGAAGAACCGUGAUGCCAUUAACCUGGUGUCAUGGGAAAUCAGGACUGUUACUUUGAAAAGAUUAGAGUGUUUAAAGCAGGCUCGCGCUUGAAUACAUUAGCAUGGAAUAAUGAAAUAGGACGUUUGAUUCUAUUUUGUUGGUUUCUAGGAUCGACGUAAUGAUUAAUAGGGAUAGUUGGGGGCAUUAGUAUUCAAUUGUCAGAGGUGAAAUUCUUGGAUUUAUUGAAGACUGACUACUGCGAUAGCAUUUGCCAAGGAUGUUUUCAUUAAUCAAGAACGAAAGUUAAGGGGAUCGAAGACGAUCAGAUACCGUCGUAGUCUUAACCAUAAACUAUGCCGACUAGGGAUCGGAUGAUGUUAAUUUUUAAUUGA
rnacentral:rRNA from 1 species